GCCAGGCGGCUUAGGUGCCCGCGGCCGCGCAGGUUCAGCACCACGGAGAGCGUCCAGCCAAGCUGCGGGCGGGAAGAGCGCUGCCGGUGCUCAACUCGUUGGAGGCUCCCUGCAGCGCUGGGAGGCACGUUUAGGGCUCAGGACCAAGACCAGCAGAUCCUCACUCACCUGUACUGCAAAAGCAUAUGCCGGAGAGACUCUUUCAUGGCUUCCCUACACCAGGGUUCCCACAAUGUUCUCCGUAGUGACUGAAAAGGAGAUUUGUUAUCAAUGACAGUCUCAUGUUGCCCUGGCUGGCAUAGAAGUGGAACUAGAUAUGUAGGCCAAGCUGGCCUCAAACUCACAGAGAUAUACCUGUUUCUGCUUUCUGAGUGCCGGGACCAAAACCAUGCACCACCAUGCCUGGCCUAAAAAGUGUAUAUACUCCCAUGUUGCAUAAUUUAUUUUUGAUUUGUGUUCUGCAUUAAUCCUGAAGUAAAGUGUCUAUGUAUAUUCGUAUAUUUCUGUUUGC